UACGUAGGGUGCGAGCGUUGUCCGGAAUUACUGGGCGUAAAGAGCUCGUAGGUGGUUUGUCGCGUUGUUCGUGAAAACUCACAGCUUAACUGUGGGCGUGCGGGCGAUACGGGCAGACUGGAGUACUGCAGGGGAGACUGGAAUUCCUGGUGUAGCGGUGGAAUGCGCAGAUAUCAGGAGGAACACCGGUGGCGAAGGUGGUUCUCUGGGCCUGUACGGACGCUGAGGAGCGAAAGCGUGGGGAGCAAACAGG
rnacentral:rRNA from 1 species